UGGGGAAUAUUGCACAAUGGGCGCAAGCCUGAUGCAGCAACGCCGCGUGCGGGAUGACGGCCUUCGGGUUGUAAACCGCUUUUAGUAGGGAAGAAGGGCUUCGGCUUGACGGUACCUGCAGAAAAAGGACCGGCUAACUACGUGCCAGCAGCCGCGGUAAUACGUAGGGUCCGAGCGUUGUCCGGAAUUAUUGGGCGUAAAGAGCUCGUAGGCGGUUUGUCGCGUCUGCUGUGAAAACUGGAGGCUCAACCUCCAGCCUGCAGUGGGUACGGGCAGACUUGAGUGGUGUAGGGGAGACUGGAAUUCCUGGUGUAGCGGUGGAAUGCGCAGAUAUCAGGAGGAACACCGAUGGCGAAGGCAGGUCUCUGGGCACUUACUGACGCUGAGGAGCGAAAGCGUGGGGAGCGAACAGG
rnacentral:rRNA from 1 species